UACGUAGGGGGGCUAGCGUUGCUCGGAAUCACUGGGCGUAAAGGGUGCGUAGGCGGGUCUUUAAGUCAGAGGUGAAAUCCUGGAGCUCAACUCCAGAACUGCCUUUGAUACUGAGGAUCUUGAGUUCGGGAGAGGUGAGUGGAACUGCGAGUGUAGAGGUGAAAUUCGUAGAUAUUCGCAAGAACACCAGUGGCGAAGGCGGCUCACUGGCCCGAUACUGACGCUGAGGCACGAAAGCGUGGGGAGCAAACAGGAUUAGAUGACCUUGAGUC
rnacentral:rRNA from 1 species